rnacentral:tRNA from 1 species
ACCUUCGUAGCUCAGUCGGUAGAGCAUCAGACUUUUAAUCUGAGGUUUUAGGGUUCGAGUCCCUACGUCGGCU